AGUGAACGCUGGCGGUAGGCCUAACACAUGCAAGUCGAACGGCAGCACAGUAAGAGCUUGCUCUUACGGGUGGCGAGUGGCGGACGGGUGAGGAAUACAUCGGAAUCUACUUUUUCGUGGGGGAUAACGUAGGGAAACUUACGCUAAUACCGCAUACGACCUACGGGUGAAAGCAGGGGAUCUUCGGACCUUGCGCGAUUGAAUGAGCCGAUGUCGGAUUAGCUAGUUGGCGGGGUAAAGGCCCACCAAGGCGACGAUCCGUAGCUGGUCUGAGAGGAUGGAUCGGCCAAAUUGGAAUGGAGCAAGGGCCAAGCUCCUUACGGGAGGAGGCGGUGGGGAUUAUUGAACAAUGGGGGAAAGCCGAACCAAGCCAUACCGGGUGGGUGAAGAAGGCCUUCGGGUUGUAAAGCCUUUUUGUGGGGAAGGAAAGCCGGCAGGUAAAUCCCCGGUUGCCCUGCCGUAACCAAAAAAUUAACACCGGCUUACCUUGUU
rnacentral:rRNA from 1 species